GUGAGGAAUAUUGGUCAAUGGGCGGGAGCCUGAACCAGCCAAGUCGCGUGAAGGAAGAAGGAUCUAUGGUUCGUAAACUUCUUUUGCAGGGGAAUAAAGUGCAGGACGUGUCCUGUUUUGUAUGUACCCUGAGAAUAAGGAUCGGCUAACUCCGUGCCAGCAGCCGCGGUAAUACGUAGGAUCCGAGCGUUAUCCGGAUUUAUUGGGUUUAAAGGGUGCGUAGGUGGUUUGAUAAGUCAGCAGUGAAAGUUUGCAGCUUAACUGUAAAAAUGCCGUUGAAACUGUCGGACUUGAGUGUAAAUGAGGUAGGCGGAAUGCGUGGUGUAGCGGUGAAAUGCAUAGAUAUCACGCAGAACUCCGAUUGCGAAGGCAGCUUACUAAGCUACAACUGACACUGAAGCACGAAAGCGUGGGGAUCAAACAGGAUUAGAAACCCGGGUAGUCC
rnacentral:rRNA from 1 species